rnacentral:misc_RNA from 1 species
GAUGAAGAACGCAGCGAAAUGCGAUACUUGGUGUGAAUUGCAGAAUCCCGUGAACCAUCGAGUCUUUGAACGCAAGUUGCGCCUCAAGCCAUUAGGUUGAGGGCACGUCUGCCUGGGCGUCACAUAUCGUUGCCUGAUGCCAGUUUCCUCGUGAUGGGUGACUGUGCAGGGCGAAUGAUGGCUUCCCGUGAGCAUUGUUGCCUCAUGGUUGGUUGAAAAUUGAGUCCUUGGUGGGGAGCGCCGUGAUAGAUGGUGGUUGAGUGACGAACGAGACCCAAUCAUGUGAGACCCCUACCGAAUUUGGCCUUCAUGACCCACAUGCGUCUUUGGAACGCUCAUGACGAGACCUCAGGUCAGGCGGGGCUACCCGCUGAGUUUAAGCAUAUCAAUAAGCGGAGGA